rnacentral:rRNA from 1 species
AACGAACGCUGGCGGCAUGCCUAACACAUGCAAGUCGAACGAGACCUUCGGGUCUAGUGGCGCACGUGUGCGUAACGCGUGGGAAUCUGCCCUUGGGUUCGGAAUAACAGUGAGAAAUUACUGCUAAUACCGGAUGAUGUCUUCGGACCAAAGAUUUAUCGCCCAGGGAUGAGCCCGCGUAGGAUUAGCUAGUUGGUGGGGUAAUGGCCUACCAAGGCGACGAUCCUUAGCUGGUCUGAGAGGAUGAUCAGCCACACUGGGAAUGAGACACGGCCCAGACUCCUACGGGAGGCAGCAGUGGGGAAUAUUGGACGAUGGGCGCAAGCCUGAUCCAGCAAUGCCGCGUGAGUGAUGAAGGCCUUAGGGUUGUAAAGCUCUUUUACCCGGGAUGAUAAUGACAGUACCGGGAGAAUAAGCUCCGGCUAACUCCGUG